rnacentral:rRNA from 1 species
GGGUCAGUAGGUUGGUCGUGCCACCGGUACGUACUGGUCUCACUGAUUCCUCCUUCCUGAAGAACCGUAAUGCCAUUAAUUUGGUGUUGCGGGGAAACAGGACUGUUACUUUGAAAAAAUUAGAGUGUUUAAGACAAGCUAACGCUUGAAUACAUUAGCAUGGAAUAAUGAAAUAGGACGAUCGAUCCUAUUUUGUUGGUUUCUAGGAUUGACGUA